UUAGGACAGGAAUAGAAAGGCUACAGCGAAAUAAUAAUUCUAUAAUUAUUUGAGAAUCAAUUCGGAAUAUAAAUAAAGCCUUGUUUAUGAAGUAUUUGUAAAUGUCAUUGUAAACAUAUUAAUGGCGGAUGUGGCGAUCUAUUUUGGAGGGAACAUAUUGGUAGAUAAACAAAAGCAAAUUUAUUGCACGAUAUAAAUUAAAUUGGGGAUAUCGGAAUUUAGAGAUAUAAAGAUAUAGAGCACAGACUCGAAAAUUACGUUCAGUUAAUAUUAUCAAUAUUGAUAUUAAUAAAUGUCAGUAAUUAUAGUAAAGGCCACCGAUUCCAAGUUUUUUUUACAUAUAACCGCCGGUCGGUGAAGGUCAGUAAAAUGUACUCUUAUUAAAAUAUCUAUUAUAUUCAAGAAAAUAAAUUCAGAGUGCUAAUCACUAACAGCUCUUAAUUUUUAGAAACCAGGUUACCACGUCGAAAACCUGAAGAAAAGAUGAAGAAAAAGGGGUUAAAGUCGAUCGGUUUCACUCAACCUUUAUCAAGCUGCAGGCUCUUGAACCACUGUAAUAACCGUACACACGGAGAGGAUCAGAGGGUAGUACCGCUUAGGUAAGUGGUAGCGUGGAGGGCUCGCAUAGGUGGGGAGAAGAAUGGUGGUGGUAGCGGACGAAGAAGAAGGUUCGAGGGUAGAAACUCGGGUCGAGGAGCGAGGUUAUAGCUAGGAGGAGAAGGAGAACGAGGAGGAACAGCGCGGGCGCUGAUUGGUAGCAGAAUCGAUUAGCCGAGCCGAGCUAAACCGGCACCGCUUCGGCGACGCCACGAAUUUCCCGAAUGGGGGUUUCCCGUUGGGGCGGGCCCGAAUCCAGGGAAUACCCGGCGUUCACCAUGGCAACCCGACCAAUUCGCCAACCGCCGACAACCGAGGAUGACCUACCGUUUCGUUUACGCCUCGAGAAGGAGAAAGACUGCAGCCUUCCUCUUCGACUACCUAUGUGUAUGCGUGUGUGUGUGUGUAUGCGCAUGUACGAGUGCACAGAUACCAGAGAGAGCCACAUUGAUUUUGCCGACGACUGAUACAACCCCGUCGGCACGUUUAAUUAGAACAUGGCGACUUUAAUACAAGCGCACGA